rnacentral:rRNA from 1 species
UACAGAGGGUGCGAGCGUUGUCCGGAAUCACUGGGCGUAAAGGGCGCGUAGGCGGCUUGAUAAGUAGGGGGUGAAAUCUUGCGGCUCAACUGCAAGGCUGCCUCCUAAACUGUCGGGCUUGAGCACAGUAGAGGCAGGUGGAAUUCCCGGUGUAGCGGUGGAAUGCGUAGAGAUCGGGAAGAACAUCGGUGGCGAAGGCGGCCUGCUGGGCUGUUGCUGACGCUGAGGCGCGACAGCGUGGGGAGCAAACAGG